GACGAACGCUGGCGGCGUGCCUAACACAUGCAAGUCGAGCGAAUGAAGUUCCUUCGGGAAUGGAUUUAGCGGCGGACGGGUGAGUAACACGUGGGCAACCUGCCUCAUAGAGGGGGAUAGACUUCCGAAAGGGAGAUUAAUACCGCAUAAGAUUGUAGUACCGCAUGGUACAGCAAUUAAAUGAGCAAUCCGCUAUGAGAUGGGCCCGCGGCGCAUUAGCUAGUUGGUGAGGUAACGGCUCACCAAGGCGACGAUGCGUAGCCGACCUGAGAGGGUGAUCGGCCACAUUGGGACUGAGACACGGCCCAGACUCCUACGGGAGGCAGCAGUGGGGAAUAUUGCACAACGGGGGAAACCCUGAUGCAGCAACGCCGCGUGAGUGAUGACGGCCUUCGGGUUGUAAAGCUCUGUCUUCAGGGACGAUAAUGACGGUACCUGAGGAGGAAGCCACGGCUAACUACGUGCCAGCAGCCGCGGUAAGAC
rnacentral:rRNA from 1 species